AUGCCACCCAAAAGUGGGGCUGAACCCGCUGGGGAGGGGAGAGAGACAAAACGAAGCAGGGUGGAUGCCGAGGACAGGCUCAGGGGCUGGUGGCACACUGAAGGGGGCACUGAGAAAGGAGGAGGGAGCCCUGGAUCGGUCCUGCUCCAUACAGAGGGAUCCCAGGAAGGGGCAGCAGCCCCAGCACGGAGCAGACGGCUCUGUUUCACCAGGCAGAGUGCCCUGGAGUGGGAGGGAGGAGAAGAAACUCGCCUGCAACUGCCAAGCUCCUGCCGCACACGCAGCAUCCCAAAGGACCACGGCUCCUCUGUUCCUCGGCUGCAAAGAGAAAGCGAGAGCCGUGCCUGCCCUCCUCAGUCUCAGCCUCCGUUUUCUUCCAGCACAAGCAGCCUGCCAGCGUGCCUCGGUGGCGGGGCAGCCGCUGCCCCGAGCACAACUGUGCCCUCUUUGUCUGCCGGGCUCUGCGGGCAAGAAAUCCCCUCCUCGCUGCUGGGUGCGCCAGGCUGGGGACGAGCGACCUGCCAGCCCCUCGGGAGCACGGUUUGGGUGGGCAGGAGGGCACAGACCCCCGGGGAUGAAACCUGGGCACAGCCAGCUCCACCACCACAGCUCCGCAGGGGCUGGGUGACAGCCCCCAGCGGCACGGGGGGGUCAGGCGGAGGAAGCAGCAGCGAGCCUCACCAUUUUUCCCCUUUUCCCAGCUGUGCCCCAGGGUGCAGACCCGGCGAGGUUUCCCCAUGCUCCGUGGCAGCAGCAGGGCUGGCGGCAGCCCCGCGCUCCCGGCCACGUGUACAGCAGGCAGCAGGCAGGAGCCUCCGCUGCGCUCCCCCUCCGAGCAGCGCGGCCCGGAGUAUUUCCUGGAGGCAUUUCAAGCCGCCGAGCUCGCAGGCUGCUCUGCGUGCUGGCAUGGCCACGAGGCUCGGGCAAGGACGAGAGGCUGUAGCUGGCGUCUUCAUCCUGCCAGCGCAGCGCCCUGGGACGGUGCAGCAAAGCCCACGCGAAGCCAAGGGGCUCCAGGGGCUGCUUGCGUGGUGCUGA
rnacentral:lncRNA from 1 species